rnacentral:rRNA from 1 species
UACGAAGGGGGCUAGCGUUGCUCGGAAUCACUGGGCGUAAAGCGUGCGUAGACGGUCAUGUAAGUCGGAUGUGAAAGCCCCGGGCUCAACCUGGGAAUUGCAUUCGAGACUGCAUGGCUUGGGUGCGGAAGAGGGAAGCGGAAUUUCCGGUGUAGCGGUGAAAUGCGUAGAUAUCGGAAGGAACACCAGUGGCGAAAGCGGCUUCCUGGUCCGACACCGACGUUCAGGCACGAAAGCGUGGGGAGCAAACAGG